GCGGCCCGUCUUGUAACACGGACCAAGGAGUCUAACAUCUAUGCGAGUGUUUGGGUGUCAAGCCCGAGCGCGUAAUGAAAGUGAACGGAGGUGGGAACCCGCAAGGGUGCACCAUCGACCGAUCCUGAUGUCUUCGGAUGGAUUUGAGUAAGAGCAUAGCUGUUGGGACCCGAAAGAUGGUGAACUAUGCUUGAAUAGGGUGAAGCCAG
rnacentral:rRNA from 1 species